rnacentral:rRNA from 1 species
GAUGAACGCUGGCGGCGUGCCUAAUACAUGCAAGUCGAGCGAACAGAUAAGGGGCUUGCUCCUUUGACGUUAGCGGCGGACGGGUGAGUAACACGUGGACAACCUACCUAUAAGACUGGGAUAACUUCGUGAAACCGGAGCUACUACCGGAUAACAUAUUGAACCGCAUGGUUCAAUAGUGAAAGGCGGCUUUGCUGUCACUUAUAGAUGGAUCCGCGCCGUAUUAGCUAGUUGGUAAGGUAACGGCUUACCAAGGCAACGAUACGUAGCCGACCUGAGAGGGUGAUCGGCCACACUGGAACUGAGACACGGUCCAGACUCCUACGGGAGGCAGCAGUAGGGAAUCUUCCGCAAUGGGCGAAAGCCUGACGGAGCAACGCCGCGUGAGUGAUGAAGGUCUUCGGAUCGUAAAACUCUGUUAUCAGGGAAGAACAAAUGUGUAAGUAACUGUGCACAUCUUGACGGUACCUGAUCAGAAAGCCACGGCUAACUACGUG